UACGUAGGGUCCGAGCGUUGUCCGGAAUUACUGGGCGUAAAGAGCUCGUAGGUGGUUUGUCGCGUUGUUCGUGAAAACUCACAACUCAAUUGUGGGCGUGCGGGCGAUACGGGCAGACUGGAGUACUGCAGGGGAGACUGGAAUUCCUGGUGUAGCGGUGGAAUGCGCAGAUAUCAGGAGGAACACCGGUGGCGAAGGCGGGUCUCUGGGCAGUAACUGACGCUGAGGAGCGAAAGCAUGGGGAGCGAGCAGG
rnacentral:rRNA from 1 species